UCGCAUCUGUGCAUGCAGCAUAUCAAUAAGCGGAGGAAAAGAAACUAACAAGGAUUCCCUCAGUAACGGCGAGUGAAGCGGGAAGAGCUCAAAUUUGAAAUCUUAAAGGGUUUCCCUUUACGAAUUGUAGUUUAAAGAAGUGUUUUCUGUUACGAUUUGUAAUAAGUUCUUUGGAAUAGGACAUCAUAGAGGGUGAGAAUCCCGUAUAUUGACCUUGGACUUGUCAGCUUUGUGAUACACUUUCAAAGAGUCGGAUUGUUUGGGAAUGCAGUCCAAAAUGGGUAGGUAAAUUUCAUCUAAGGCUAAAUAUUGGCGAGAGACCGAUAGCGAACAAGUACCGUGAGGGAAAGAUGAAAAGAACUUUGAAAAGAGAGUUAAAUAGUACGUGAAAUUGUCAAAAGGGAAGCGUUUAACACCAGUGUUGUUUUCUGAAAAUCAACCUCUGUUAGCUUUAUGCAUGUUUGUUUAGACCUAAUCAGCUAUCUUGCAUGUUCUAUUGUUUGCAGUGGUGCACUUUUCAGUUUACAGGUCAACAUCAGUUUCUUUUACCGUAAAAAAGUUAAAGAAAGGUAGCUCAUGGCUCCGGUCGUGAGUGUUAUAGUCUUUUUCCUAUGCGGUAGGAGAGACUGAGGUCUGCAGUGUAGGCUAUUUGGCUAGAUACUCAGGUGCUAUGUGAUACCAUUUCAUAAACAACUUGUUGAUUAUGUUUGUCUAUUGCAUACUCGCUUGUGACUAUCAUACCUACGCUUAGGAUGUUGACGAUCAGCUGAGCGCG
rnacentral:rRNA from 1 species